rnacentral:rRNA from 1 species
GACGAACGCUGGCGGCGUGCCUAAUACAUGCAAGUUGAGCGAUGAAGAUUGGUGCUUGCCCCAAUUUGAAGAGCAGCGCACGGGUGAGUAACGCGUGGGGAAUCUGCCUUUGAGCGGGGGACAACAUUUGGAAACGAAUGCUAAUACCGCAUAACAACUUUAAACAUAAGUUUUAAGUUUGAAAGAUGCAAUUGCAUCACUCAAAGAUGAUCCCGCGUUGUAUUAGCUAGUUGGUGAGGUAAAGGCUCACCAAGGCGAUGAUACAUAGCCGACCUGAGAGGGGGAUCGGCCACAUUGGGACUGAGACACGGCCCAAACUCCUACGGGAGGCAGCAGUAGGGAAUCUUCGGCAAGGGACGAAAGUCUGACCGAGCAACGCCGCGGGAGUGAAGAAGGGUGUCGGAUCGUAAAACUCUGUUGGUAGAGAAGAACGUUGGUGAGAGUGGAAAGCUCAUCAAGUGACGGUAACUACCCAGAAAGGGACGGCUAACUACGUG